GUGUUUAUCCGGCAAAGUUCACCGGUUUCGGGUUGUUCAAGUCUUGAUUCAGAUCCGAAGUGGUUCGAGUCUUGUUCGGGUCUCGCGGCACGGUUCAAAACGGGUCAGCAGCUCAGUCAAACGGCUCGGUUCGGUUUGACUCGGUCAAACCGAGUCAACUCAGUGUUCGGGUCAGCCGGUUCGCAACAGUAAAUGAUUUUGGUUUCGGUUCAGAUUCGCAUAUGGGGCUCGCAGAUCAAGUCUUGCGAUUCGGCCCGGGUCGACUCGGUCAAACCCGAGUCAACUCGGUUAACGCAGUCAAAGCAAGUCAACUCAGUUGACUUGGUCAACCCAGUCAACCCUUUCAGCAAUCGACACGAGAGUUUUGGGUAAUAGUUAAAGCCGUGGUUUCGUUAUGUUAUUUUUAUAAUUUUUAUCUAACGUGACAAACGAGCUCGAACCGACUAACGAAUCUGCAUUUAGUGAGUUGAUUAUUCAUAUUUGGCAUUUUGAUAAA